GACGAACGCUGGCGGCGUGCUUAACACAUGCGAGUCGAACGGAAAGGCCCUGCUUGCCGGGUGCUCGAGUGGCGAACGGGUGAGUAACACGUGGGUGAUCUGCCCCUUACUUUGGGAUAAGCCUGGGAAACUGGGUCUAAUACUGGAUAGGACCAUGCUGUAGGUGGUGUGGUGGAAAGAUUAGUUUCGGUAAGGGAUGAGCUCGCGGCCUAUCAGCUUGUUGGUGGGGUAAUGGCCUACCAAGGCGUCGACGGGUAGCCGGCCGGAGAGGGUGGACGGCCACAUUGGGACUGGGAUACGGCCCAGACUCCUACGGGAGGCAGCAGUGGGGAAUAUUGCACAAUGGGCGCAAGCCUGAUGCAGCGACGCCGCGUGGGGGAUGACGGCCUUCGGGUUGUAAACUCCUUUCAGCCAUGACGAAGCCCUUGUGGUGACGGUAGUGGUAGAAGAAGCACCGGCUAACUACGUG
rnacentral:rRNA from 1 species